AUAGAGACUCAGAGCUGCAUAUCAAUAAGCGGAGGAAAAGAAACUAACAAGGAUUCCCUUAGUAACGGCGAGUGAAGCGGGAAGAGCUCAAAUUUGAAAUCUUCAAGGUUUUACCUCGACGAAUUGUAGUUUAAAGAAGUGUUUUCUGUUGGAGUUUUGGUAAAAGUUCUUUGGAAUAGGACAUCAUAGAGGGUGAGAAUCCCGUAUUUGACCAUUAUUUCCAGCUGUGUGAUACACUUUCAAAGAGUCGGAUUGUUUGGGAAUGCAGUCCAAAAUGGGUGGUAAAUUUCAUCUAAAGCUAAAUAUUGGCGAGAGACCGAUAGCGAACAAGUACCGUGAGGGAAAGAUGAAAAGAACUUUGAAAAGAGAGUUAAACAGUACGUGAAAUUGUCAAAAGGGAAGCGUUUGACACCAGUGUUGUUUUUCCGAAAAUCAAUUAAGAAUGGCCGGAUUUUAAGUUUCAUGACCUUAAAAGCUUGUUUCUUAUUUUUCAUGUCUUUCUUAAUGCACUUUUCGGUUAACGAGUCAACAUCAAUUUCUUUUGUUGUGAAAGGUUAAGAGGAAGGUGGCUUUACUUUCGGGUAAAGUGUUUAUAGCCUUUUAACUCUGCAAUCGGAGAGAUUGAGGUCUGCAGCGUAGAUCCUUCGGGGUUAGAUACAGUUUGUGCUAAGUUAUAGCUUUUCAUAGACAACUUGUUGACUAUGUUAGUCUUGUAGAUUACUCGCUGAUGCUAUUUUACCUACGCUUAGGAUGUUGAUAGUCACAGCGUGUAC
rnacentral:rRNA from 1 species